CAGUCGCCGCGGUAAUACAGAGGGUGCGAGCGUUAAUCGGAUUUACUGGGCGUAAAGCGUGCGUAGGCGGCUUUUUAAGUCGGAUGUGAAAUCCCUGAGCUUAACUUAGGAAUUGCAUUCGAUACUGGGAAGCUAGAGUAUGGGAGAGGAUGGUAGAAUUCCAGGUGUAGCGGUGAAAUGCGUAGAGAUCUGGAGGAAUACCGAUGGCGAAGGCAGCCAUCUGGCCUAAUACUGACGCUAAGGUACGAAAGCAUGGGGAGCAAACAGGAUUAGAUACCCCUGUAGUCCCUGUCUCUUAUAC
rnacentral:rRNA from 1 species